rnacentral:rRNA from 1 species
GACGAACGCUGGCGGCGUGCCUAAUACAUGCAAGUUGAGCGCUGAAGGUUGGUACUUGUACCGACUGGAUGAGCAGCGAACGGGUGAGUAACGCGUGGGGAAUCUGCCUUUGAGCGGGGGACAACAUUUGGAAACGAAUGCUAAUACCGCAUAAAAACUUUAAACACAAGUUUUAAGUUUGAAAGAUGCAAUUGCAUCACUCAAAGAUGAUCCCGCGUUGUAUUAGCUAGUUGGUGAGGUAAAGGCCCACCAAGGCGAUGAUACAUAGCCGACCUGAGAGGGUGAUCGGCCACAUUGGGACUGAGACACGGCCCAAACUCCUACGGGAGGCAGCAGUAGGGAAUCUUCGGCAAUGGACGAAAGUUUGACCGAGCAACGCCGCGUGAGUGAAGAAGGUUUUCGGAUCGUAAAACUCUGUUGGUAGAGAAGAACGUUGGUGAGAGUGGAAAGCUCAUCAAGUGACGGUAACUACCCAGAAAGGGACGGCUAACUACGUG